UAUACACCUUAUGUAGAUGCCUGUGACAUGAUAGACUAGAUCCGGAGGCCCCCUGCUGGAGGCCUCAUGGCCCUUCCACAUCCUACCCCAGAAAAGGGCAGUAGAGAGGUCUUCCAAGCUACCUAGAGUGGCUGUAUGGGAAGCAGCCAAUCAGGGCCAUGCAGGCUAGUAUAAGAAGAGCUGCAGGGGCAGCAGGUGUUCAGUUCCUUGCUGGAGCUGGUGGAGUGUGGAUGGUGUGCCUGGCUGAGAGAGCUACAGGACACUGGACAAAGCAGUGCUGGCAGUGGCUGGGGGAACCAUAAAGGACUGGUUGCUGAGACUCAACCAGGACAAGACCAUGAGGUGUUGGGACCUGCUACAUGGGUUUGCAGCACCGCUCUGGUUUGGUUCCACUACCCUUCUGCCAUGAUGAUGAGGUGGGGAGGGCCAGUUUGAGCGAGUGGCUCUCCAAUGUUGCGUGCCAGGUCACAACACCUGGGAUGGGCAGCCAGGCCCAGUCCCAUGGGACGGAGACUCUGCUGAAUGUACAUCAGAAGUAAGAAGCCUGCCAAACAAUUGGGACGGUCAGGGUGUUGAAGUAGCAUUCAAGAAAGACAAGGCUAUUCCGGAGAAGAUAACUGCAUGUUUUUGCAUUCGUCUUCACUGCAGAGGAUGUGAGGGAGAUUCUCACACCUGAACUCUUCUUUUUUAGGUUCUCAUUACCCAGCUGGGGGCUGUGGACUGUGUUUAACACAUCCUCAAUCUUAGUGGUCUCAUGACACGGUGUCCUUGCUAUGGAUUCCCAUCAGAUGGAACAAUUUAAUCUGUGAAGUCCCAAUAAGUUUUUGUGUGUGGAGGUGUCUGGGUAUUUUCUGUUGGCUGUCCAUCUAGAAUGUCUCCGAUUCUUGUCAGAUUCACUUCUGAAAAAGCCGUCUAGAAAAGGCAAAGCUUGAAUAUGGAUGUACGAUAAGCACCUAUUUUCCUUCUUACUUUUAGAACCACUUAAAUAUAUAAAUAAUGUAUCUCUAUUCAUUUGUUUUACAAGCAGUAGUGUUUUAAACUCUUUUUAUGGUUUGAUAUUGCAACAACAUGCUUUUUACUGGACAGGGCUAGAAACUGGAGUCCUAGAUGCUGGAACUAGGGGUGCUGCUGAAUCCCCUGGCUUGAAGUGGUUUCCAUCAUAUACCAGGUUUACAGUUUGGUUCAAUGGCUCUCAGCCCCCGCACUAUACAAAUUGUUCCAGCACCCCUGCCUGGAGUAUUUGUGAUCUGAUAUAUUAAGUGGUAUUACCCAGAGACUUCAGAGGAGUGGAUGUUUUCCAGCCUCCUAGACGAAUGCAGCAAAAACAUUUCAUAGAGUUAGCAGAUGUAUUGGGCUUAGGGAAGGGGUUGCAAAGACAUUUCGGUGUCUACAAGUUUCGAGUUAAAAUUCACAUGUUAAUGACAUUUUUUCACAGAUGCCUAUUUUCAGGUUCACAAUUUUUUAAAAAUCCCUUUUUUUUUCAAGUAGCUUUAUAUUAU